UUUGGCUAUAAUCGAAGCUGAAAUUUUUUUUUUCAUUAAACAUUUCAGUCAAAUGUUAGCCAAUAUAAAAUUGAUCCUUCUUUAAGGUCACUGGUUGAUUAGUAUGUAAUCUUGCAGUAUUACCCUAGUAGGAUACAGUU